AGUUGCUAACGCGUGAAGGCGAGCACUCUUAGCGAACUGCCGUUGCAAAACGGAGGAGGUGGGGAUGACGUCGAAAUCAUCAUGCCCUUAUGUUCUGGGCUACACACGUGCUACAAUGGCCGGUACAGACGGACGCAAAGCCGCGAGGUGGAGCAAAUCCUAAAAAGCCGGUCUCAGUUCGGAUUGCAGGCUGCAAUUCGCCUGCAUGAAGUCGGAAUCGCUAGUAAUCGCAGGUCAGCAUACUGCGGUGAAUACGUUCCCGGGUCUU
rnacentral:rRNA from 1 species